rnacentral:rRNA from 1 species
UACGAAGGGGGCUAGCGUUGCUCGGAAUGACUGGGCGUAAAGGGCGCGUAGGCGGCGGUCACAGUCAGAUGUGAAAUUCCUGGGCUUAACCUGGGGGCUGCAUUUGAUACGUGGUUGCUUGAGUGGGGAAGAGGGUCGUGGAAUUCCCAGUGUAGAGGUGAAAUUCGUAGAUAUUGGGAAGAACACCGGUGGCGAAGGCGGGUCUCUGGACAGUUCUGACACUGAGGCACGAAGGCCAGGGGAGCAAACGGG